rnacentral:rRNA from 1 species
UACGUAGGUCCCGAGCGUUGUCCGGAUUUAUUGGGCGUAAAGCGAGCGCAGGUGGUUUAUUAAGUCUGGUGUAAAAGGCAGUGGCUCAACCAUUGUAUGCAUUGGAAACUGGUAGACUUGAGUGCAGGAGAGGAGAGUGGAAUUCCAUGUGUAGCGGUGAAAUGCGUAGAUAUAUGGAGGAACACCGGUGGCGAAAGCGGCUCUCUGGCCUGUAACUGACACUGAGGCGCGAAAGCUGGGGGAGCGAACAGG